rnacentral:rRNA from 1 species
UGGGGAAUCUUGGACAAUGGGGGCAACCCUGAUCCAGCGAUGCCGCGUGGGUGAAGAAGGCCUUCGGGUUGUAAAGCCCUUUAGGCCGGGAAGAAGGUAAUUAGCUGAAUAAGUUAGUUGCUUGACUGUACCGGCAGAAUAAGCACCGGCUAACUCUGUGCCAGCAGCCGCGGUAAUACAGAGGGUGCGAGCGUUAAUCGGAAUUACUGGGCGUAAAGGGCGCGUAGGUGGUGGCGUGUGAGUGAUGUGAAAGCCCCGGGCUUAACCUGGGAAGUGCAUCGCUAACUGCGUUACUGGAGUAUAUCAGAGGGUGGCGGAAUUUCCGGUGUAGCGGUGAAAUGCGUAGAGAUCGGAAGGAACGUCGGUGGCGAAGGCGGCCACCUGGGAUAAUACUGACACUGAGGCGCGAAAGCGUGGGGAGCGAACAG